rnacentral:rRNA from 1 species
CCUACGGGAGGCAGCAGUGAGGAAUAUUGGUCAAUGGGCGAGAGCCUGAACCAGCCAAGUCGCGUGAAGGAUGACGGCCCUACGGGUUGUAAACUUCUUUUGUCAGGGAGCAAUUGGGUCCACGCGUGGGCUUAGCGAUAGUACCUGCAGAAAAAGCCUCGGCUAACUCCGUGCCAGCAGCCGCGGUAAUACGGAGGAUGCGUGCGUUAUCCGGCUUUAUUGGGUUAAAGGGGUGCGUAGGCGGAAUAUCAAGUCAGCGGUAAAAAUUCGGGGCUCAACCCCGUCGUGCCGUUGAAACUGAUGUUCUGGAGUGGGCGAGAAGUAUGCGGAAUGCGUGGUGUAGCGGUGAAAUGCAUAGAUAUCACGCAGAACUCCGAUUGCGAAGGCAGCAUACCGGCGCCCAACUGACGCUGAAGCACGAAAGCGUGGGUAUCGAACAGGAUUAGAUACCCCUGUAGUC